rnacentral:SRP_RNA from 1 species
GCCGGGCAUGGGGGCUCAUGCCUGUAAUCCUAGAACUUUGGGAGGCUGAGGUGGGUGGAUCACCUGAGGUCAGGAGUUCGAGACCAGCCUGGCCUACAUGGUGAAACCCCAUCUCUA